rnacentral:tRNA from 1 species
GCCGAGGUGGCGGAAUUGGCAUACGCGCCGGUCUCAAAAACCGGUGGCUAAAAAGCUGUGCGGGUUCGACUCCCGCCCUCGGCA